GAUCAAGCUCAUUGAAGAAGAUGCCGAUUCAUUUGCAAGAAGGGCUGAAAUGUACUACAAGAAAAGGCCUGAGCUAAUGAAAUUAGUUGAGGAGUUCUACAGGGCAUACCGGGCGUUAGCUGAAAGAUAUGACCAUGUAUCAGGCGAACUUAAGCAGGCUCAGAAAACCAUGUCAGAGGCAUUUCCCGACCAAGUACCCUUUCUUCUUGAAGAUUCACCAGUGAAAUCCUCCGCACAUGCAGGAGAGCCACAUAGUCCAGAAGUAUCGCGUGGAGCUCAUGAUUUUCCUGAUACAGGUGACUUGCAUCAGCACGCAGUGGGGUUGUUGCUGUCAAGAAUGCAUGCUGUACAGAGGAGUGGUGAUGAUAAGGGAGCAAGUGAGUGGGGUCUAAAACAAUUGUAUGAGAUGCUUGGGGCUGGAGAAGAAAUGCUAAAGAACUCGAAGUUCCUCGAGGGAACGUUAAAGAAAGGAUUGAGCGGCAAUACAGAAGAAAAAGAACAAAGUUUGCAUUCUCAAGUUUCUGAAUUAUCAAUUGAGAAUGAAAACCUCAAGGCCAAAGUUCUUGCUGAGUCAGAGCGUGCAGGUCAAGCUGAAGGCGAAGUUCAAAUGUUGAAAAAAGCACUAGCUGGUGUCGAGG
rnacentral:misc_RNA from 1 species